CUCCAUUUAAUAGAAUGUUAUGUUGACAAGAAAUGUUUUGCUUUGCAUGACAAGAAAUGUUUGCUUUGCAUGACAAGAAAUGUUUUGCUUUGCAUCUUUAGGAUUGUGUUGAAAUCAAAAUAUAAAAAAAUCAACACACAACUUACCCCUUCUGAUGAAAGUUAAUGGUUGUUCCUGUAUGCAAAGACCAAAUUCUUCUUUUGUUAGAAGUCAAAGAUGUAGUAUGAACAGAUGCAGAAUGGGGGGGGGGGGGGGGGUUAUACCAAAAUAUUUCUUGUUCCUAUUUAUCAUUAAAAAAAAUGCUUGUUUUUUAUAAAAGUCUUAAAUGUCGCCUGUGAAAAAAAAAAUAACACUCUAUUUACAAACUGGUUAAGGUCAGUGUUUAAUUAUGUUCAUUGCUUCCUGGUCUGUGCCUAAGUAUGAUGCUGAUUUAUGGCCUUCUGAGGUCAAAUGCUUAGUCUGUGCCUUCUGAGGUCAAAUGCUUAGUCUGUGCCGUCUGAGGUCAAAUGCUUAGUCUGUGCCUUCUGAGGUCAAAUGCUUAGUCUGUGCCUUGUGAUGCCCAAUGCUUGGUCUGUACCUUUUGAUGUCAAAUGCUUGGUGUGUGCUUUUUGAUGUCAAAUGCUUGGUCUGUGCCUUUUGAUGUCAAAUGUUUGGUCUAUGCCUUAUGAUGUCAAAUGUUUGGUCUGUGCCUUAUGAUGUCAAAUGCUUGGUCUGUGCCUUAUGAUGCCCAAUGCUUGGUCUGUGCCUUAUGAUAUUAAAUGCUUGGUCUGUGCAUUGUGAUUCCAAAUGCUUGGUCUGUGCCUUAUGAUGUCAAAAGCUUGGUGUGUGCCUUGUGAUGUCAAAUGCUUGGUCUGUGCCUUUUGAUGUCAAAUGUUUGGUCUAUGCCUUAUGAUGUCAAAUGCUUGGUCUGUGCCUUAUGAUGUCAAAUGUUUAGUCUGUGCCUUAUGAUGUCAAAUGCUUGGUCUGUGCCUUAUGAUGCCCAAUGCUUGGUCUGUGCCUUAUGAUGUUAAAUGCUUGGUCUGUGCAUUGUGAUUCCAAAUGCUUGGUCUGUGUCUUAUGAUGUCAAAAGCUUGGUGUGUGCCUUGUGAUGUCAAAUGCUUGGUCUGUGCCUUGCGCUGCCAAUUUUAUCCCUUUAAUGAUCUCAUGCUUGGUCUGUGAUUUAAAUGAUGCCUGGUUUUGUACCUCAUGAUGCCCAAUAUUUGUUCUGUUCCUUAUGCUGUACAAUUCUGAUAAUCAUAUUAAUAAGAUCUUCAACACACCAGAAAUUAAUUUAACACAUUAAUCAAUUAAUAUCUGUACACAAUGGGUUGGCCUUUGUCCAUGAUAUGUGAUAUAAACCUAAUAAAUGAAUUAUAUAAUAGUAGACUGACAAUUGACAUUAUAUAACACCUGCAAACAGCUGGAUGCUUCUAAUUAUUUAAAGCUAGGUCAAGGACU
rnacentral:lncRNA from 1 species